AGGGCUCCGCAGGCGGUUUUUUAAGUCUGAUGUGAAAGCCCCCCGGCCCAUCCGGGGAGGGUCAUUGGAAACUGGGGAACUUGAGUGCACCAUUAGGAGAGUGGAAUUCCACGUGUAGCGGUGAAAUGCGUAGAGAUGUGGAGGAACACCAGUGGCGAAGGCGACUCUCUGGUCUGUAACUGACGCUGAGGAGCGAAAGCGUGGGGAGCGAACAGGAUUAGAUACCCUGGUAGUCCACGCCGUAAACGAUGAGUGCUAAGUGUUAGGGGGUUUCCGCCCCUUAGUGCUGCAGCUAACGCAUUAAGCACUCCGCCUGGGGAGUACGGUCGCAAGACUGAAACUCAAAGGAAUUGACGGGGGCCCGCACAAGCGGUGGAGCAUGUGGUUUAAUUCGAAGCAACGCGAAGAACCUUACCAGGUCUUGACAUCCUCUGACAAUCCUAGAGAUAGGACGUCCCCUUCGGGGGCAGAGUGACAGGUGGUGCAUGGUUGUCGUCAGCUCGUGUCGUGAGAUGUUGGGUUAAGUCCCGCAACGAGCGCAACCCUUGAUCUUAGUUGCCAGCAUUCAGUUGGGCACUCUAAGGUGACUGCCGGUGACAAACCGGAGGAAGGUGGGGAUGACGUCAAAUCAUCAUGCCCCUUAUGACCUGGGCUACACACGUGCUACAAUGGACAGAACAAAGGGCAGCGAAUCCGCGAGGUUAAGCCAAUCCCACAAAUCUGUUCUCAGUUCGGAUCGCAGU
rnacentral:rRNA from 1 species